UACAGAGGGGGCAAGCGUUGUUCGGAAUUACUGGGCGUAAAGGGCGCGUAGGCGGCCUGUUAAGUCGAACGUGAAAUCCCCGGGCUCAACCCGGGAACUGCGUCCGAUACUGGCAGGCUUGAAUCCGGGAGAGGGAUGCGGAAUUCCAGGUGUAGCGGUGAAAUGCGUAGAUAUCUGGAGGAACACCGGUGGCGAAGGCGGCACCCUGGACCGGUAUUGACGCUGAGGCGCGAAAGCCAGGGGAGCAAACAGG
rnacentral:rRNA from 1 species